rfam:Mycobacterium sp. NAZ190054 Contig_344, whole genome shotgun sequence.
CCUCCAUGAUCUGGGGGCAGAUCAGAUGGACGUGGCAGUCGAUGGCGCCUGCGGUGACGAUGCGGCCGUUGCCGGCGAUGACCUCGGUCGACGGGCCGACCACCAGGUCCGGAUGCACACCCGACAUGAUGUCCGGAUUACCGGCCUUGCCGAUCGCGGUGAUGCGACCGUCGCGAAUCCCGAUGUCGGCCUUGAUGACUCCCCAAUGGUCGAGAAUCACCGCCCCGGUGAUCACGGUGUCGGGCGCGCCGUCGGCGCGGGUGGCGCGUGACUGCCCCAUCGACUCGCGCAG